CAGCCGCCGCGGGAAUACGAAGGGGGCUAGCGUUGUUCGGAUUUACUGGGCGUAAAGGGCGCGUAGGCGGACUGAUAAGUCAGGGGUGAAAUCCCAAGGCUCAACCUUGGAACUGCCUUUGAUACUGUUUGUCUUGAGUUCGAGAGAGGUAAGUGGAACUGCGAGUGUAGAGGUGAAAUUCGUAGAUAUUCGCAAGAACACCAGUGGCGAAGGCGGCUUACUGGCUCGAAACUGACGCUGAGGCGCGAAAGCGUGGGGAGCAAACAGGAUUAGAUACCCGAGUAGUCCCUGUCUCUUAUAC
rnacentral:rRNA from 1 species